CAGUAUUAUCUCAGCUGAUAACACUACACCAUUCAUAUGGCAGAGAAAUAGGGAAACAAAACUCAUUCCAGCCCUUUCGUUCUGGCAUUCUCUCUGCAAAAGGCAAAGGGCCCCCCUCGCGAUGAAUAGAGCUGGGGUAGAAAUACAAUCCUGUACUAUUGCUAAAAGCCAGAAGAGCUGACUCUUUUAUUCCAAGGGGAAGUUUGGGGGUGUUCUUACCCUUGGUCCUAUGUAUACUCUCAUGAGUGAUAGAUCAGGAUGAAGACUUUCAGAUAUGGAGUCUUGCUCUGUUGUCAGGCUGGAGUACAGUGGCAUGAUCUUGGCUCGCGGCAACCUCCACCUCUCAGUUCAAGCAAUUCUCCUGUCUCAGCCUCCGGAGUAGCCAGGAUUACAGGUCCUAAGAAUGGAAUUCAGGAGUGGACAAGACAUAACUUUUGCCAUGAAGCAUCUCAUCACACAAUGGAGUCUUGCUCUGCCACCCAGGCUAGAAUGCAGUGUCACAAUCUUGUCUCUGUGCAAACUCCGCCUCCUGUGUUCAAGGGAGUCUCCUGCCUCAGCCUCUGGAGUAGCUGGGAUUACAGGGCUUGUCAAAAUCCUACUCUUUUACUCACCUUACCAACACUCGGAGGCAUGACUUAUGUCUGAAACAAAACUACAAGGUAAAUAUUCACUGCAAAGUAGAGCAGAGAUGAAGAUAUUUAAGAUUUUUUUUUUAGUUGUAUGGAAUACAGUGUUUUAGUGCUUUAUUUUUUUUCCAUUUCAGAGCCAGUGUUUAUACACAAAAAUCUUGGAAUACUCUUGUUUUCAUUUCUUCUGUUGCAGCUUUUCUGGGAGCACCACUGUCUUCCAAAAACAAAUAAAAUGACUAAGAUUACAUUAAUUUGCAUUUCAUUACAUAAUCUGUUGAGAAAAUGGAAC
rnacentral:lncRNA from 1 species